rnacentral:rRNA from 1 species
UACGAAGGGUGCAAGCGUUAAUCGGAAUUACUGGGCGUAAAGCGUGCGCAGGCGGUUUUGUAAGUCUGUCGUGAAAUCCCCGGGCUCAACCUGGGAAUUGCGAUGGAGACUGCAAGGCUAGAAUCUGGCAGAGGGGGGUAGAAUUCCACGUGUAGCAGUGAAAUGCGUAGAGAUGUGGAGGAACACCGAUGGCGAAGGCAGCCCCCUGGGUCAAGAUUGACGCUCAUGCACGAAAGCGUGGGGGAGCAAACAGG